rnacentral:lncRNA from 1 species
AUCCAUUCGAUCUGAAGAAAGAUGUCUCCAUCAGUCAUUUAGAGCCUUUAUCGUGAGCUAGCACUCCCAAAAAGGAUGAUCUGUUCGAGGCUUAGAGUAGACUACCUGUAGAGGCUGGACACACUAUGCGAUUGCUCGACAUUAAGAAGGACCUCCUACCACAUUCAUCAGCAGUGGUGAUCAUCGAUCGAUGAUCAGAUAAUGAGUUCUGAACUCAUCGAAUUAGAACUAACUGUU